GACGAAGGGGGCAAGCGUUGUUCGGAAUUACUGGGCGUAAAGGGCGCGUAGGCGGCCUUGCAAGUGGCGGGUGAAAUCCCUCGGCUUAACCGAGGAACUGCCUGCCAGACUGCAAGGCUCGAGACCGGGAGAGGUGAGUGGAAUUCCCAGUGUAGCGGUGAAAUGCGUAGAUAUUGGGAGGAACACCAGUGGCGAAGGCGGCUCACUGGACCGGAACUGACGCUGAGGCGCGAAAGCGUGGGGAGCAAACAGG
rnacentral:rRNA from 1 species